rfam:Ictidomys tridecemlineatus contig090290, whole genome shotgun sequence.
GGGUGUAUAGCUCAGUGGUAGAGCACUAGUCUAGCAAGCUAGAGGCUCUGGAUUCAAUUCCCAGCACAGUCA